GAAUUCGAUUAACGCGAAGAACCUUACCUGGGCUCGAAAUGUUACGGACCAGCUGGUGAAAGCCGGCCUUCCCGCAAGGGACCGUAGUAUAGGUGCUGCAUGGCUGUCGUCAGCUCGUGUCGUGAGAUGUUGGGUUAAGUCCCGCAACGAGCGCAACCCUUGUCCUGUGUUGCCAUACCGAAAGGUGGAACUCGCAGGAGACCGCCAGGGAUAACCUGGAGGAAGGUGGGGAUGACGUCAAGUCCUCAUGGCCUUUAUGUCCAGGGCUACACACGUGCUACAAUGGACGGUACAAAGGGCUGCCAACCCGCGAGGGGGAGCCAAUCCCAAAAAACCGUUCUCAGUUCGGAUUGCAGGCUGCAACUCGCCUGCAUGAAGCUGGAAUCGCUAGUAAUGGCAGAUCAGAACGCUGCCGUGAAUACGUUCCCGGGCCUUGUCACACCGAAUCACUA
rnacentral:rRNA from 1 species